UAUUGCGCAAUGGGGGAAACCCUGACGCAGCAAUGCCGCGUGGGUGAAGAAGGCCUUCGGGUUGUAAAGCUCUUUUGUCAGGCAAGCAACACCGGCUCUAACACAGUCCGGGAAUGACGGUACCUGAAGAAUAAGCACCGGCUAACUACGUGCCAGCAGCCGCGGUAAUACGUAGGGUGCAAGCGUUAAUCGGAAUUACUGGGCGUAAAGCGUGCGCAGGCGGUUAUACAAGACAGGCGUGAAAUCCCCGGGCUUAACCUGGGAAUGGCGCCUGUGACUGUAUAGCUAGAGUGUGUCAGAGGGGGGUAGAAUUCCACGUGUAGCAGUGAAAUGGGUAGAUAUGUGGAGGAAUACCAAUGGCGAAGGCAGCCCCCUGGGAUAACACUGACGCUCAUGCACGAAA
rnacentral:rRNA from 1 species